rnacentral:rRNA from 1 species
UACGAAGGGGGCUAGCGUUGCUCGGAAUUACUGGGCGUAAAGGGAGCGUAGGCGGACUGUUAAGUUAGAGGUGAAAUCCCAGAGCUCAACUCUGGAACUGCCUUUGAUACUGUCGAUCUGGAGUAUGGAAGAGGUAAGUGGAAUUCCGAGUGUAGAGGUGAAAUUCGUAGAUAUUCGGAGGAACACCAGUGGCGAAGGCGGCUUACUGGUCCAUUACUGACGCUGAGGUGCGAAAGCGUGGGGAGCAAACAGG